CAAUAGCGUAUAUUAAAGUUGUUGCAGUUAAAAAGCUCGUAGUUGGAUUUGUGGUGUACUUCGGCGGCCCGUCACUAUGUGAUGGAGCUUGCUGAAGUCGCCAUCCUUGGGUGGAUCCUGUGUGGCAUUAAGUUGUCGUGCAGGGGAUGCCCAUCGUUUACUGUGAGAAAAUUAGAGUGUUCAAAGCAGGCUUAUGCCGUUGAAUAUGUUAGCAUGGAAUAAUAAGAUAGGACCUUGGUACUAUUUUGUUGGUUUGCGCACCAAGGUAAUGAUUAAUAGGGACAGUUGGGGGUAUUCGUAUUUCAUUGUCAGAGGUGAAAUUCUUGGAUUUUUGAAAGACGAACUACUGCGACAGCAUUUACCAAGGAUGUUUUCAUUA
rnacentral:rRNA from 1 species